ensembl:snRNA U6 U6 spliceosomal RNA
GCACUCACUUCAGCAGCACAUAUAAUAAAAUUGGAAAGAUAUGGAGAUUAGCAUGGCCCCUGCACAAGGAUGACAUGCAAAUUUGUGAAGUGUUCUAUAUUUUG